ACAUACAGGAAGUGAGUUUAAAUCGACUGCUGCAGCCUCACAGUGUCCGUGGAGAUCAGGAUGGACAAGGACAGGAGUCACAGGUCUGAGAGGAUAAUAAAUAUCACCCUGGAGAUCAUCUACCUGCUGACUGGGGAGGAUUACACAGUAGUGAAGAAGACAUCCAAUGAGUAUGAGACACCGAGCAGCCAUCCCUGUGUGUCAGGAGGACUGAGUAGAACCCAGAGCCCCAUCACGGUGCCUCCACCUCACUCACUGACACAUGAGAGACACAAUGACCAGAAGAUCCUGGAACUCACCAAAAGGAUCAUUCAGCUGCUUACUG